GAUUGAACGCUGGCGGCAGGCCUAACACAUGCAAGUCGAACGGUAACAGGAAGAAGCUUGCUUCUUUGCUGACGAGUGGCGGACGGGUGAGUAAUGUCUGGGAAACUGCCUGAUGGAGGGGGAUAACUACUGGAAACGGUAGCUAAUACCGCAUAACGUCGCAAGACCAAAGAGGGGGACCUUAGGGCCUCUUGCCAUCGGAUGUGCCCAGAUGGGAUUAGCUAGUAGGUGGGGUAAAGGCUCACCUAGGCGACGAUCCCUAGCUGGUCUGAGAGGAUGACCAGCCACACUGGAACUGAGACACGGUCCAGACUCCUACGGGAGGCAGCAGUGGGGAAUAUUGCACAAUGGGCGCAAGCCUGAUGCAGCCAUGCCGCGUGUAUGAAGAAGGCCUUCGGGUUGUAAAGUACUUUCAGCGGGGAGGAAGGUGUUGUGGUUAAUAACCACAGCAAUUGACGUUACCCGCAGAAGAAGCACCGGCUAACUCCGUGCCAGCAGCCGCGGUAAUACGGAGGGUGCAAGCGUUAAUCGGAAUUACUGGGCGUAAAGCGCACGCAGGCGGUCUGUCAAGUCGGAUGUGAAAUCCCCGGGCUCAACCUGGGAACUGCAUUCGAAACUGGCAGGCUUGAGUCUCGUAGAGGGGGGUAGAAUUCCAGGUGUAGCGGUGAAAUGCGUAGAGAUCUGGAGGAAUACCGGUGGCGAAGGCGGCCCCCUGGACGAAGACUGACGCUCAGGUGCGAAAGCGUGGGGGAGCAAACAGGAUUAGAUACCCUGGUAGUCCACGCCGUAAACGAUGUCUAUUUGGAGGUUGUGCCCUUGAGGUGUGGCUUCCGGAGCUAACGCGUUAAAUAGACCGCCUGGGGAGUACGGCCGCAAGGUUAAAACUCAAAUGAAUUGACGGGGGCCCGCACAAGCGGUGGAGCAUGUGGUUUAAUUCGAUGCAACGCGAAGAACCUUACCUGGUCUUGACAUCCACAGAACUUUCCAGAGAUGGAGGGGUGCCUUCGGGAACUGUGAGACAGGUGCUGCAUGGCUGUCGUCAGCUCGUGUUGUGAAAUGUUGGGUUAAGUCCCGCAACGAGCGCAACCCUUAUCCUUUGUUGCCAGCGGUUAGGCCGGGAACUCAAAGGAGACUGCCAGUGAUAAACUGGAGGAAGGUGGGGAUGACGUCAAGUCAUCAUGGCCCUUACGACCAGGGCUACACACGUGCUACAAUGGCGCAUACAAAGAGAAGCGAACUCGCGAGAGCAAGCGGACCUCAUAAAGUGCGUCGUAGUCCGGACUGGAGUCUGCAACUCGACUCCAUGAAGUCGGAAUCGCUAGUAAUCGUGGAUCAGAAUGCCACGGUGAAUACGUUCCCGGGCCUUGUACACACCGCCC
rnacentral:rRNA from 2 species